rnacentral:rRNA from 1 species
AUUGAACGCUGGCGGCAGGCUUAACACAUGCAAGUCGAGCGGGGGAAGGUAGCUUGCUACCGGACCUAGCGGCGGACGGGUGCGUAAUGCUUAGGAAUCUGCCUAUUAGUGGGGGACAACAUCUCGAAAGGGAUGCUAAUACCGCAUACGGCCUACGGGAGAAAGCAGGGGAUCUUCGGACUCUGCGCUAAUAGAUGAGCCUAAGUCGGAUUAGCUAGUUGUUGGGGUAAAGGCCUACCAAGGCGACGAUCUGUAGCGGGUCUGAGAGGAUGAUCCGCCACACUGGGACUGAGACACGGCCCAGACUCCUACGGGAGGCAGCAGUGGGGAAUAUUGGACAAUGGGGGGAACCCUGAUCCAGCCAUGCCGCGCGUGUGAAGAAGGCCUUAUGGUUGUAAAGCACUUUAAGCGAGGAGGAGGCUACUCUAGUUAAUACCUAGGGAUAGUGGACGUUACUCGCAGAAUAAGCACCGGCUAACUCUGUGCCAGCCGCCGCAGUAA